rnacentral:rRNA from 1 species
GACGAACGCUGGCGGCGUGCUUAACACAUGCAAGUCGAACGAUGAUGGGACUGCUUCGGUGGUUUUUGAUUAGUGGCGAACGGGUGAGUAACACGUGAGUAACCUGCCCUUCACUCUGGGAUAAGCCUUGGAAACGGGUCUAAUACUGGAUAUUACUUGAGCCCGCAUGGGUUCGGUGGAAAGCUUUUGUGGUGGAGGAUGGGCUCGCGGCCUAUCAGCUUGUUGGUGAGGUGAUGGCUUACCAAGGCGACGACGGGUAGCCGGCCUGAGAGGGUGACCGGCCACACUGGGACUGAGACACGGCCCAGACUCCUACGGGAGGCAGCAGUGGGGAAUAUUGCACAAUGGACGGAAGUCUGAUGCAGCGACGCCGCGUGGGGGAUGAAGGCCUUCGGGUUGUAAACCGUCUUUCGUCAGGAGAAGACUUUGGGUGACGGUACCUGGAGAAGAAGCACCGGC